rnacentral:miRNA from 1 species
UGUGUGUGUGUGUGUGUGUGUGCACGCGCACGCGCGCGCACACACACACACACACACACACACA